rnacentral:rRNA from 1 species
AUGCAUGACCUAGUGCAUGAUCUCGCAAAAGAGAUCUUGGCCCAUCAAAUUAACACUGUGGGAAUCAAAUGCCGCUAUGCAUUGCUCACAGAUUGUAGCAAGUCAUUGGAGUUGUCCGUGAAGUUUCCUGCAACCUUAAAGGUGCUACAUUUUCGGGACUGUGGCAAACGAGAACUUUGUGGUGAUGUUUUUUCAGCAGCUAAGUUCCUCUGUGUCUUGGAUUUAAGUGAGUGCUUUAUUAAGAAGUUACCUUAUUGUAUUGGUCAACUGAAGCAACUAAGGGUUCUGUAUGCUCCAGGGAUACAAGAUACGAUGAUUCCCAAUUGUAUCACCGAGCUCUCAGAAUUAAAUUAUCUCGACCUUAGAGGCUCUCAGAAAAUCUCAGCAUUGCCUGAUUCAAUUGGUGAUAUGAAAUCUCUGAUGCAUCUUGAUUUAUCAUAUUGUUAUGAGAUUUGUGAACUUCCAGUAUCCUUUGCGAAGCUGAAGCAGUUGGUGCAUCUUGAUUUAACAUAUUGCAGAAGAAUAUCUAUAUCAAAAUCUUUUGGUGGAUUUACCAAACUUCAAUAUUUGAGUUUAGCAGGACAAACGAAUAUAGACGUGAAUAGGAGAGAGCUAUCAGAGGUCAUUGAUAACCUAACAGAACUUAGGUAUCUAAAUCUAUCAGGAUCCAUAGACAGUAUGAUCACAUCAGAUAAAGUUCACAGCUUGCUUGCCUCUAUCAGCACACUUUCCGGUCUAGAGUAUCUGGACUUGUCUUAUAAUAGAGCGUGUAGCAGUAUACCAGAAAGUAUUUGCAACCUCAGGAAGCUUCAUGCAUUGGACCUAGCAGGCUGCAAAAAACUGAAGAAGCUUCCCGAUCGUAUGGACCAGAUGGUUAGUCUGAAGGUUCUAAAUUUAAAACAUGUUAGGUUGGAAGAAUUGGCGGUCUCUCACUUCAACUGUGCCUCUUUGCCACACUUUGUGGUGCAUGCUUCAGGUGAUAGAUGUUGCAGCAAUAUCAUCCGCCUUCAGCCUACAAAUCCUGUUGAGCUGUGGAUAGAUAGACUUGAAAAUGUGAAUUCUGUAGAAGAAGCACACGGUAUAAAACUAAUAGAGAAACAAAAAAUUGAAAAGUUGAGAUUUCAAUGGACUGUAGCGACUGGAAGGUUUGUGGAGGACAAGGAGGUGUUGAAAAUUCUAGUGCCACCAAGCAGUGCACAUAUAUUGACUAUAUCUGGUUACGGGAGUGUGAGCAUUCCUGAUUGGUUUAUGGAUCUUAGGCAAUAUCUCCCUAUUCUUUCUCAGUUAUAUUUGUGUAAUUUUCUGAAGUGCAAUAACCUACCACCACUUGGUGAACUACCAAACCUACGAUGGCUGGGUCUCUACUAUAUGAAGAGCUCGCAAGAGUGGAACAUGGGAUAUACCAGUGGUGAGGAAGGUGCAAGUGAGCCUAAGCUUGAGUGCUUGACCAUAGAGCACUGUGCCAAGCUGAGGAUAAAACCAUGUGUGCCUAGAGCUACGUCUUUGUUCAUACGUGGUUGUGACGCAAUGCUAUCAUCAUGGGGAGAGAGCCCUCCACACAACGGUACUUCCUGCUCUUCUCCAUUAACACAGCUGAGUGUUGAAGAUAGCAAGGUGCUCAUGCAUCAGUGGAGGUUGCUUCACCACCUCCCUUCCCUUAGUUGGUUAUCUAUCGUCAGUUGCAGUGAUCUGAAUCUGACCACCUCACCUGAGAUAAUCCAACGCCUCUCCUCCCUGGAAACAUUGUGCCUCGAAUCAUUGUCCCUCAACCAAGCAGAACUGCCAAGAUGGCUGGUUGAACUGACAUCUCUGCAGGAGCUAACUCUGCGUGAGUGUGCAAUCACGACACUACCGGAGUGGUUAGGAGAACUAACCUCUCUCAAGAAUCUGGAGAUUAAGCACUGCGAGGGCAUCAGGUCUUUUCCGGACAGCAUCAAACAACUGACCAAACUUGAAUAUCUGUGCGUUGAUGGUUGCCCUACAUUAGAGAAGUGGUUUGAGUCAGAGGAGAACAAGAUGAGGCUCGCUCACAUCAGAGACGUAGAGGUAAGUGCCUGCCAAGCUUCCAUUCUCGUAGUGACAAUUCUCCUUUCCACCAUUGCGGUGCUUACAGCUUGGUCGCUUUGGCACCACCGCAAUGCUGUGAUUUUCGACAAGAUCACACCCUCUUCUGCCUCCCUCCUAGCUGCGAUUCAAGAAUCAAGAGGAAGCACGCUCCUGGGCCAGCGCCGGAGCCAAAGGACUUAG